AAAAGUCGCGGUGACUCAAAAAAUAAUCAAUUGAUUCAAUUUUAAAAUAAUUUUAAGAAUAAAUAAAUUUUAAAGGAGUCGCCACCUAAUUUUAGGAAAAAACUAGAAAACCAUUAAGUGAUCUACGAAACCAAGAUUCUAGGUAAGGGGUUCAAAUUAUUCCGAAGGGAAGGUGUUAGGCAUCCUUUGAAAGUUAUUUGGAAGGGAAGGUGUUAGGCAUCCUUCGAAAUCCACAACUGUGGAUCCCGACUGAAUUCAUUUUUUCAAAUUGAGGAGGAAGCAAAAAUAGUAUACAAAUAUAACAAACAUGCAAUAUACACAAGUAAUAAAAUAAACAAGUACUAUGAGAAACGACCUAAUGUUUGCCUAUUGUGAACAAUAUACACAAUAAUAAAUAAAAAAAUUAUAAUUUGAAUUCCAUUGGAAUAGCCUCAAUGGGAAGCAACUUUGUGUACCUGUAAAGACACUUAGUAAAAG
rnacentral:lncRNA from 1 species